ensembl:lncRNA
GAUAGGGAUAAAGUAGUCGAUACAAGGAGGGAAGUAAAAGCCAGCAGAGUGAUGCCGUUCCCUCUCUCUGAGCCCUCCAGCCUCUUCACCAUCAUAGGAAGAGACAAUGGUGAACUCAAGAAGCCUAUUUAUAGUCUGCGAUUGGCCAACACUAGCCCUGUGUUUCUGCUCUGUGGACAUCCGCCUUGGCUAGUUGUGGAGUGUGUGUGCACAUGUGAUCAUGCUCAUGACAGGGAGGGAAACGAGAGGAAGAGAGGGAUGGGUGACUUGACAGAGACCCUGUGGAUUAAUCCAGACGAAGAGGACAGCUUAAGAGGCAAAGCAAGAUCUCAGUCCACUGACUGUCAGCAACCAUGAGCGGUGGAGCGAAUAUCAAAGUCAUAUCUCAAAGCCAGAGUGACGCUGGUGUCAGCUCGAGUCUGCCUUUGCCGAGAAGCAUGAUGCCUCUCUCCAAGAUGGAUCCCAAACAGCAGUACAGCGCCCAUCCCAAUCCCACAGUGCAGUAUCAGCACCCUGCCAAACCACGGCCUUCAUACUCUUCAUCAUCUGCUUCUUCAGGCCCUGCAGAGCUGCUGAGAGGUACAGCUUUCAAGAACCACCUGCUGCAGCAAAAGACCAGCAUGUUUUCUCAUAGGAGCCCAGCGGUUACAGAGAGAACAGAUGGAACGUGCUCCGCAUACAGCAGCCCUCAGGUGCCAAAGCGGCAAGUCCCACGCUCCAAAGACACAUUAGACCUCAACAACAGCAUGCUGACCCAGAAGGCUUUGAGAGACCUUCAGCUGAGGAGAAACACAAACAAGAACUGGACCUUUGGGAAGUAUCGUGUGAGGAACAUGGACAACGUACAAGAAGGCGAAGCCAUCCACCGGCUCUCAGCUAAUGUUCAGUCAGGCCACGGACGAGGACGUCUGCUUCAUACUAAAGCUGCAAAUGGGAAUGACGUCCCAGGGGUGUCUUCAGCUGGGGUGGAAAACUUCACAAAAGAGAUGAGGAGAUUCUCAGACCAUGCCCUGGCAGCUUCUGAAGGAGAAGUGUUCAGUAACAAAUUAAAGCCUUCUAAUCAAGCAUUCAACAUGCCACGCAGAGGGAGCGAGCCAGGAAAAAUCAGCAUGGCUGCUGUUGCUCCUUUCAGGUUCAGGUUUCAGGUUCACGAGGACAUAGAUGCCACUCUGGAUGACCUUAGUGACUGCUCCUCUGACUCCAUGGAGGUCUGUUGUGAUGAUCUAG